rnacentral:rRNA from 1 species
GAUGAACGCUGGCGGCGUGCCUAAUACAUGCAAGUAGAACGCUGAAGGAGGAGCUUGCUCUUCUGGAUGAGUUGCGAACGGGUGAGUAACGCGUAGGUAACCUGCCUGGUAGCGGGGGAUAACUAUUGGAAACGAUAGCUAAUACCGCAUGACAUCAGUUAUUGCAUGAUAACUGUUUAAAAGGGGCAACUGCUCCACUACCAGAUGGACCUGCGUUGUAUUAGCUAGUUGGUGAGGUAACGGCUCACCAAGGCGACGAUACAUAGCCGACCUGAGAGGGUGAUCGGCCACACUGGGACUGAGACACGGCCCAGACUCCUACGGGAGGCAGCAGUAGGGAAUCUUCGGCAAUAGACGGAAGGCUGACCGAGCAACGCCGCGUGAGUGAAGAAGGUUGUCGGAUCGUAAAGCUCUGUUGUAAGAGAAGAACGAGUGGGAGAGUGGAAAGUUCACACUGUGACGGUAUCUUACCAGAAAGGGACGGCUAACUACGUG